UAACCUUACCAGUUCGUAAAAUUUGGGU
rnacentral:sRNA from 1 species